rnacentral:lncRNA from 1 species
AUUCUUAACCCUACCCUAAUCUAUUGCCUUCUCCCUCAACUCAAAUGGUAAGGGUUUCUAAUUUACCUAAGCAAGUUUUAAACCAGAACCGAUAACUUUUCAACUAGGAACUAUCAUAGAAAAACAUGUGUCCAUUUUGGUGAAAUGUGCUCCAAUUCAUUCGAUAGGAUGAGACCUUUCAGAGGCAUACAACCAUGUCGCCUUUUCACCUAAGGGUGAAGUGAUUUUAGAUUUGUAAAACUUAAAUGCAGACCAGAACAUAAUAACCGAGAAACAGAUGGUUGGGAAAACAAAAGUUCAGACUGAUGGAGAGGAGCUUUUUUUUUACUGUUACUGUUUUUACUGUUUUAAGUGCCUGAGGAAUUAUGAUCAUCCUUCUCAGACAUUGGGAAAAUCAAGUCAGCUAUUCCUAUUAAAGUAUCUAUCAAUAAUUCCAAGCCUCUAUCCAAUAUUUGACAAUAACUACUUAGAUCAGAGGCAUUAAAUGGGAUAAGACCUAUUACUCAGGCAUUCCUUGUACCGGUCCUUGUACCAGCCCAAUUUUACUGGUAAGAAAGUCAAAUGAGGAAGGCUAGAGGUUUGUUCAGGACCUGAGAGCUAUAAAUAACAUUGUGAUCCCUCACACCCUGCUCCGAGUCAUUCCAGCAGACACCUAUUAUUUCUCAGUAAUAGACCUAUGUAGUGCAUUUUUUAGUAUUCCAGUGAAAGAAGAAAGCCAAUACCUCUUGGUCUUUAUGAGGGAAGAUUGUCAGUAUACCUGGGCAGUUAUGCCACAAGGCUAUACUGAAAGUCCCACUUAUUUUCCUCAAAUACUUAAAGCUGAUUUGGCUGUUCUUCACUUCCCUAAUGGCUCUGUUUUAAUUCAACAUGGAGAUGAUUUGCUUUUGUGUCUGAGAACUGAACAGGACUUUCAAAGAGACACUAUCCACCUGUUAGAACAAUUGGCCUCUAGGGACAUAAGGCGUCCAGAGGCAAACUGCAAUUCUGUUUACCAAUUGUAAAAUAUUUGGGUCAUUUGAUAUCCAAGGAAGGAUUAAUUGAUUCUCAAAGAAUUAAGGGAAUCCUGGCUUUCUUACUGUCCAAAACAAAGAACUAGCUAAGAGGAUUUCUAUGUUUGACUGGAUAGUGUAGGAAUUGGGUACCGAAUACCUCUCUCAUUUCCCAACCCCUCUAUAGGUCAUUUAACUAUGACAUAUCAGGCCCAAUUGAAUGGACAACAGAAGGAGAAAAGGCUACAGAUGCCUUAAAAUCUUCAUUGACUCGGGCUCCAGCAUUAGGCCAUCCUAAUUAAAAAUUACCAUUUUUUUCUUUGUGCCUGAAGACAAAGGAAAUGCCCUAGGGGUGUGUUAACUCAGAAGUGUGAUGACCAGCAUCAACUCAUAGGUUAUUAGUUAGAUUCGGUGGCAAAAGGACUCCCUCUCUGUAUGAGGGCUAUUUCAGCAACAACUCUCUUGUUCAAAGCUACUGAAGAGCUUAUAAUGGGGUAUCCUUUGACUAUCUGUCAGUGGAGUCUCUUUUAAAUUCUCAUCACACUCAGUACUAUUCUGUGAGUAGAGUCACUUCUUACAAGGUACUGUUGCUUUCUUUGCUUAAUAAUAUUUUGGUGCAAUUCAGUAAUCUGAACCAUAUAACUUUGCUUCCAGCACCACAGGAAGAAAACAGUAACAAUUGUUUUUUACCAACUGAUUAAAUUCUUACUCCUAGGAAUGAUUUACGAGAAACCCUAUCGAUAACGCUGACUUAAUUUGGUUUACAGAAGGAUCUUACUUAAAGGAUGAACAGGGACAUUCCGAGCUGGAUAUGCAAUAAUGUCCACUGUGGACAUGAUUAAAAGUUUUUACUUACCAGAAGCAAAGUUGGCACAGCAAGCUGAAUUAAUUGCUCUAAUCAGGGUUUGUCAGCUAGCCAGAGAUCAAAUAGCAAAUAUUUACACUGAGGCUUUUGGAGUGGCUCAUGAUUUUGGAAUGCUCUGGAAGCAAAGAGGAUUUCUUACUUCCCCAGGCGAACAUAUAAAAAAUGGGAAAAUAGCCUCAGAAUUAUUAGACUCUAUAAUUACUCAAACAAUUGGCUAUUAUGAAAAUACCUGGACAUUCCAAAUCUGAUUCAAUAGCUAAAGGCAAUCAAUUCACAGACUCAGCAGCUAAAUGAGCUGCUUUAUGUUACGUUUCCAACCAGCUCUGAGAAUGUCUAACACUUAAACCUGACCUCAAUGUAACUGUUAGGAAAUUUCUCCUACAGUUUCAAGAAUUAGCUGCAGAAGACAAAAAACAAAUAUGGGAGAAGAAAGCAGAAUUCUUUGAUUCCCAUUUCAUAAAUAUGGUUUUGACCAAAUAAGAGGCCUAUAGUGCCCACAAGGCUCAGUUACCCUUACUCCAGCAUGUGCAUUCCCUGACACAUUAGGGCCCUGAAGAAAUAAAUUUUGGGGGGGAAAGCAGUAUAAUUGGAAGCCCUCCCUAUGGUAACCAACAAGGCAUAUGCUUGAUGCACUAUUUGCCCUAAGCAUAAUCCCAGAAAACCACUCCAUUGGUCACAAGGUCACUUUUACCUUCCUAAGGGACCCUUUGAGGUAUGGCAACUGGGCUUCAACCAAAUGCCAUUUCACGGAUAUAAAUAUAUUUAUAAUGACAUAUAUUUUCACACUAGAAUUAAGCUUUUCCAUGAAGGAGAGCACUGGCUUUAAUAAUAGGUAAAUUACUGUUGGAAGAAAUAGUUCCUGGUUCAGGGAUCCCUUCCGAGUUGCACAGUGACCAAGGGACUCACUUUACUGGACAAAUAAUUAAAUCAAUUUGUGAUAUUUGCCCAAAAGCAUGCUUAUUAUCCCAAUUUUGGGGAUUGGUAGAAAGAACAAUACUAUCAAAACUCAACUGGCAAAAUUCUCAGAGGCUUUUCAUCUUUCAUGGCCAAAAGCCUUCCCAUUGUUGCGUGUCAACCUUGGAUAUAUCCCUUUUAGUAAACAAUUGUCCCCUUUUGAAAUAAUCACUGGGCAAUUUAUGGGCUUAGAUGAAGGCAUUUAACCAGCGUUAUUUAAGCAUAACAUAUUAUAUUAUUGCCAAGGACAUAUUAAAGCACUUAAAUAAAAUGAAAAGCUAAUAGCUAAUUCCUUCUAUGGUGAACUCCUAGGAGACAAAGACUCUAAGGACCACAGGUGACAGCAUGGAAAUUUUGUGUACUAGAAAAGAAAUCAGAUGAAGAACUCUUUAUAGCUACAUUGGAAGGGCCCAUAUCAGGUAUUACUAAUAAAUCCUUGGCUGCAAAAAAGGAGUAAGCUUUUAGAUUCACAUUUCUCACCUAAAAAAGGCCUCCUCUCCUGAUAUGCUUCAACUCCUAUUUCUGACACCUGGCUUUGACUAAGUCCAGCACUAUCAGACCAAGAUGAGUAGAUGAUAUCCAAAGUAGACAGCUGAUUCAAGAUGCUAGAAGAGCAUGUAUACUAAUUACUUUAAUAAUUACUCACUUUUGAUUAUGAAUAAAAUGUAUUUAUUUCUUUGGCUCAAUCAUAUGCAAGUUUCAAAAAUCAAUUCAAAUGCUGGGUUUGAGACCAAUUAUCUGUAUCCAGCAUUUCUGGAUUACUCCAGUGUUUUUCACCAAUUCAGGGUUCAGACUGGCUAGCCCUUAGAGAUUUUAUCUUGAAAGAAAUUCUAUCACUGUGCAAACCACCAAUGAUAUCACUAAGUGGAACUCUCUUACCCGGCCAAUUAAUGACACCUGUUCUGAACCUAGCCAUCAGUACUCUUUUUCACUAGAUGUUACUCAUUUCCAAUCAGAGCAGCAUGCUAAGGUUAAGCCCAGAAACAUAACAACCCAUCUCUUUUGGUGGCAUUAUUUCCCAGUUAUGAGAUAAAAUUAUUUGGCUCAUGCCAGGAUAUGGCUACUUGAAUAUGAGGGUCUCUCUUUAUUGGGAACGAAUUAAUUAUAUCAGAUAAUCAACCUAGCACUACUCAUAAAUUAUGGUGGAUACCACCUGAAAAUUGUCAAAAUACUAUAACUCUGAGGACCCCAGUGAUUGGUUUGGAACUGAUUGGUUAAGACAACCAGGAAUAUAUUGGGUAGCUCCUAAUGGGACCCACUGGAUUUGUGGAAUGAAUUUAUGGCCUUGGCUUCCCCCAGGUUGGUUAAGGAGAUACACAACUUUUUUCCCUUGGGCUUAAGGUCACUUACAGUUAACCCUGGAAACAGUCCUUGCCAAUAUGCCUUUAAUACGUGCACACUGGGUUUGAUCAGUUUUCCAAUGAUAUAAUCAUUUGGUCAUCAUAAUUGUUCCUUCACUUGGAAUAGAAGAUUAUCAUUACUCACACAGAGGUUUUAACAAAAUUUACUAAGCAAGCUUUGAGUAACAGUCAUUAAGCCAUUAUCUUUCUAAAUUCAGAAGUCCCCAUGAUAAUAAAAGCAGUCCUACAGAAUCACAUGGGCUUUGAUAUGCUAACAGCUUCCAAAGGGGCAAUCUGUGUUAUAAUGCACACUGAAUGUUGUGAAUUUACACCUGAUGAUUCUUCUAAUGUAACUCAUUUUUAUGACCUUUGAAGAAUAAAAUUUCUGCUAUGAAUAAUCCUCUUAGUUUAGGGGGCAUACUAGGAAAAAGGUUUGGUUUAGGAGGAUUUUGGCUUAAAUCUUUACUAAUGAUGUUGUUUAUUCUUACUGGCAAUUUUAAAUUGCAGUUUGUCUAACGUUUUUUUUUAGGGCUGCACCCGUGGCAUAUGGAAGUUCCCAGGCUAGGCUUCGAAUCAGAGCUGCAGUUGCCAGCCUAUACCACAACUACAGCAAUGACAGAUCUGAGCCACCUCUGUGAACUACACCACAGAUCACGGCAAUGCCAGAUCUUUAACCCACUGAGAGCGGGCAGAGAUUGAACCUGCAUCCUCAUGAAUACUAGUCAGGUUCAUUACUGCUAAGGCACAAUGAGAACUCCAGAUUGUCUAAUUUAUAACGUGAUUCUUGCUUUUCAACACUAGUAUCGCCUACUUCUACUAAGAUAAUGAUGUCUAAAUGACUUGAAACUAUUGAUCAUAUCUAUAGUUCUCUAUAAAAUAAUAGACAUACACAAUGAACCUGCAAUGCAAAACUGGCAUAAGUCUUAUUGGACAACUUAGAAUUGACCUUCGGUCCCUGCUGAACAUCCUAUAACUUCCCCUCCCCAGAAAAAGAAAAAAAAAGAAGAGAACUGGGCUAUUAGACCCCACAUCAAGGGACAUAAUUCACCUAGGGCAGGAGACACCCAUGGGAUGCAGAAGUUCCUGGGCCAGGGAAUGAACCCAAGCCACAGCAGUGACAAUGUUGAAUCCUUAACCACUAGGCCACCAGGGAAAUCUGAAUAUUGUUCCUUUAUUUUAGAAUGAAUAAAUGCUUAUGGGAA